rnacentral:rRNA from 1 species
AUUGAACGCUGGCGGCAUGCCUAACACAUGCAAGUCGAACGAGUGGCGGACGGGUGAGUAAUGUCUGGGAAACUGCCUGAUGGAGGGGGAUAACUACUGGAAACGGUAGCUAAUACCGCAUACCAUCCGAUGUUCCCAGAUGGGAUUAGCUAGUAGGUGGGGUAACGGCUCACCUGGGCCACGAUCCCUAGCUGGUCUGAGAGGAUGACCAGCCACACUGGAACUGAGACACGGUCCAGACUCCGACGGGAGGCAGCAGUAGGGAAUAUUGCACAAUGGGAGCAAGCCUGAUGCAGCCAUGCAGCGUGUAUGAAGAAGGCCUUCGGAUUGUAAAGUACUUUCAGCGGGGAGGCGUUACCCGCAGAAGAAGCACCGGCUAACUCCGUGCCAGCAGCCGCGGUAAUUC